CGGUGUAGCUCAGCGGUAGAGCUACUGAUUUGUAAUCAGUGGGUCGGGGGUUCAAAUCCCUCCGCCG
rnacentral:tRNA from 1 species